rnacentral:misc_RNA from 1 species
AUGUAUGUUCGAAAGAGGUUUGAUGCUGGUCUCUCUCCCGAGGCAUGUGCGCACCUCUCGACUUCUAUCCACACACCUGUGCACCUGUCGUGAAUGUCUCCCAUUCGGAGCCGUCCUGUACAAAAACAGGACUGGGACAUUCCGUCUCUUUAUCCCACAAACACCUGUCCAUAUCGCAUGUCCAAGUGGCUCCAAGGAGCUAUAAACGAAAUA